CAGUCGCCGCGGGAAUACAGAGGGUGCGAGCGUUAAUCGGAUUUACUGGGCGUAAAGCGUGCGUAGGCGGCUUCUUAAGUCGGAUGUGAAAUCCCUGAGCUUAACUUAGGAAUUGCAUUCGAUACUGGGAAGCUAGAGUAUGGGAGAGGAUGGUAGAAUUCCAGGUGUAGCGGUGUAAUGCGUAGAGAUCUGGAGGAAUACCGAUGGCGAAGGCAGCCAUCUGGCCUAAUACUGACGCUGAGGUACGAAAGCAUGGGGAGCAAACAGGAUUAGAUACCCGUGUAGUCCCUGUCUCUUAUAC
rnacentral:rRNA from 1 species